AGGAAACAUGUUUUUUUCCCAAGUGUAAAUGGAACAUUCAUAAAAUUUAAUCAUAAAAUUUCCCUACAUAUUUUGAAGUGUAAGCAUUAUAAUAGACUCUCUGUUUACAAAACAAUUCACAAUUAGAAGUUUAUAACAAAAGGACGAUUUAAAACAUUUUCUAUAUAUUAAAAAAAAAACCUUCUAAAUGUCUCAUGAAUCAAGAAGAAAGUAUAGCAUUAAGUUUAAAAGUACUUGAAACUGAAUGAUAAUGGAAAUACUACAUAUAAAAGCUUGUAGAAUGCAGCAAAAGUGUUUCAAGGAAAAUUUAUGGUCUUAUUUUUUUUAAUACUUUAUUGGAGUAUCGUUGAUUUACAAUGUUGUGUGAGUCUCAAGUGUACGGUAAAGCGAUUCAGUUAUACAUAUAUGUAUUCACUCUUUUUCAGAUUCUUUUCUCAUAUAGGUUAUCACAGAAUACUGAGUAGACAGAAGACUGGGGUUUUUUUCUGGGUUUUAGCUGCCCUGCGUAGCACCUGUAGCCUGCCAUCAGGCUAAAAGCCAUAAAAAAUGGGAAACGAACUCCAUGCCAUUUCUUUCUUCCAAGUGUUGGCUUUACUCCGAAAGCUGCCUGUUCUGUUUACUGCCCACAGCAUUCAGGUGGCUGUUCUUAUGUUAUACCCAGUGUUGACAGUUGUCGUCUCUGGGAGCUGGGGGUGACUCGGCCGUAUCAUCAGUGGAACUGAUUACUUUGGUUUGGUUGUAAUCUCACUUUGUCACUUACUACCUGUGUACAUUUAGGCAAGUUACUUAAUUCAUCUGUGUCUUAGUUUCCUUGUCUGUAAAACAGGGAAAAUAAUAUUAUUCCAUGUUUAGAAUUGUUGAGAGAUUAUAUGACAAAAUACAUCUGAAAUGCUCGGGGAUAUUAUGCUGAUGAUGAUUAUAUAGCUGAGAGUGUUCCUUUUGCAUCAUUUUGAGAUUUCUACCAAUGCAUUUAGCCAUUUCCUCAAUGAAUAAUUAUUGUGAUUCCUUUCAAAUUUUCAGGCAUUUUAUCAUUUGGGAUAGCGCUAGAUGAAGCUCACUGAUAAAUUUCCAAAAAUGUGUUAAAUUCUCAAUUACAAACUACCAUUCUCAUUUCAGGCGAUGUUUCCCUAGUUAUUCAUAUAUUAUAUUUCAUUGUAUUUUAUUUCGCAGCGUCUCGGAGAUCAUGAUUUAUAACUACUUCGUGACUAGUUAGAAUUGAAUUUAGCUUUUCACAAGUCACCCUUAAACAUGCAUUAAAAUUCCCUAUAAUUAAGCAAAAAAACAAUGUUAGAGUUGGCCUUCUCACCCUUGACACUGUUGACAGAUGGAGAAAUAUUUACUGACCUCCUACUCUUUCGAGGAACAAAAGUUACAAAGAUGUGAUGCCUACAGAAACCUUGUGAUGUUUUGAUUGGUGUUCAAAACAUUUAUUUUAUAAAUGUAUCUUAUUUUGAUCAGAAAAAUGAACACCUAUAAUAAUGUGUAAAUAUGAUUGUACUAGCAUUCCCUACAGCAAUUCCCUAAAGCAAAAACCUUUGAGGCCAGAAAAUGAAAUCAUGUAUCGCCCAAGGUGAGUAAGAGAAGGGUCCUUUGUUCCAGUUAGGAUUUGAGGCCAAGAAAUAAAAAACCUGACAACAAAGGCUUAGACAAGUAGGGCUUAUUUUUCUCAUGCAGUGAAAUCUAGAUGUAGGCAGCAUGGGUCUGGAGCAGCUCCCAAGGUUGUCAACCCAGAUGCAGGCUCUGUCCAUUAAUCCGUUCCCCUUUAUGAACACGUGGCUUUGUUCUGCUGGUUAUAAGAUGGCUGCUACACCUCCAAAGGGUGUGUCUGCUUUCCAAAAAGAUAAAGGAGGGGGAAAGUGAAAGACCAGGGGUUAUGCCAGCUGAGUUGGUCCCAUUUUAUCGGAAAAACAAUUGCUCCAGAGACAAGGCCAACCCCUGGCCGCCCCAGCUUAGAUUUCAUCAGCAAAAAUGGGUCAUAAUGCAAGGCACUUUGGCCAGGUGAAUAUUUUAGCUGUGUACAAUGCCACCCCAAGGGAAAUUGGGAUUCUGUUAGUAAUAACGAAGAGAAGAAUAGAUAUUAAGAGGGGCAGUACUUUCCAACCACGGCAAGGUGCGAUUGCAGGGACUCAUGGAGACUUUCCAGGGGAGUCAUGGAAAUCAUUUUCCAGUGUGACUUCCAUUUAUACAGUCCAUCUAAAAGUGAUCUGCUUUGGAAAGCAUAGUACCAGUCUUCUUUAACCACCCCUGCUUUUAAAACUGCCCUCUGCCCACUUUGCAAUAGAGAACCACACGCCCAUAACCAACCCUGAAAUUUACUAUGGUGCAUUGCCCAGGGGAUCUAAAAACCUCUAGGGUAGGGACUUCUCUGGUGGUCCAGUGGUUAAGACUCUGCACUUCCAGUUCAGGGGGAUGCAGGUUUGAUCCCUGGUCGGGGAACUAGGAUCCCACAUAAAAUUUAAAACAAUAAAUAAAAAUAAAAACCCUCUGGGAUAUAAUCAAAGGGACAAGUCAAAAUAAUGGUAUCACACAGCCUCUUUUAUUAAAGCAGAACCAUCCUGGUGGGGAUUCUAGUCUUUUCGUAUAUAUGCAUAUUUACCUUAAGAGCAAAGCAUGGUACUAGAAGUGAUUGAUUUGGGCCAAUGUCAUAAAUAUUUUGAAUACAGCUACGUUGUUGAGUGGAGCCAUAGAGAUUUUGGGGGUUUUUUCCCCUUUAUUUUUAUUUAUUUUUAACAUCUUUAUUGGAGUAUAAUUGCUUUACAGUGGUGUUAGUUUCUGCUUUAUAACAAAGUGAAUCAGCUAUACAUAUACAUAUUUGACUAUUUCUAUCUGCAUGCCCUUAUCUCUUCCAUCCUCUGGUCUUUGUGGAAGAAUUUAUUGCUUUUGAAGAAGAGUCUUUGAGAGCAAAGCAAAGAGGACGUCCUAAGGAAUAACGAAGGCAGGGAGAGGUAUUGUACUCUCCCACCAACAGAGCUGCACGAUAGGAGCCUCUGAGGAAGGAAUUUCUUCUAAGGGAGAAGAGUAACGGCGUCAAAGGAAAAUGGCUAUAAAGUUGUUACCCUUACAAGUUCCUGGAACGAUAGUAAAACACCGGAGUGCUGAACACUGGAGAAAUACAACCAAAUAUCAGGCAAGAGGUGCUGGCGUCUGACCUUGGCUGCAGACUGCUUCCCCACCCUGCUCCCCGACCCCAUGUCCUCCAAUAUUCUGGGCAGACAGCUUCCUUCUCUCAGUGUUGCUGCUUCUGGGUCUACAUUUCCUCCCUCUGUCACCUUCUUCCCUCAGCCAUUAAGGAGCCUAACACCGCCCACCCAUUAAAGAUGAUGGCGCCUCGGUGGGUUAAGAAUCCGCCUGCCGAUGCAGGGGACACAGGUUCGAGCCCUGGUCCGGGAAGAUCCC